rnacentral:rRNA from 1 species
UACGUAGGGUGCAAGCGUUGUCCGGAAUUAUUGGGCGUAAAGAGCUCGUAGGCGGUUUGUCGCGUCUGCUGUGAAAACCCGAGGCUCAACCUCGGGCCUGCAGUGGGUACGGGCAGACUAGAGUGCGGUAGGGGAGAUUGGAAUUCCUGGUGUAGCGGUGGAAUGCGCAGAUAUCAGGAGGAACACCAAUGGCGAAGGCAGAUCUCUGGGCCGUAACUGACGCUGAGGCGCGAAAGCGUGGGGAGCAAACAGG